GUAAACAGUGCAGUUGCGUGCUUUUAAUGUAGAUAUAUAUAAGGUAAAGUGAAUCUCAUUUUUUAUUAUUUACAAUUGUAUCACUAUUACCAGUAAAUGACUAAAUAGAAAGUAUAUGCAGUUGUAUGUGCCUUAAUUAGGAAGUAACACAAUACUUGUAGUAAACAAAAUAUACCUAAGUAGUCAUUUUGUGUUUUGAUAUUUUUAGGCUUAAUUGUAUUGACUAGAAUUGAUAAUUAUCCGUCCUAAUAAGUGAUUUUGUGCCUUGUUUUGAAUCUGUCUCUGUAAGUUUAUGUAAAAAUGAUAAUGAUAUAUUUUAAGCAUUAACAUUCUUUUAUCCGUCCAAAAUAAAAGAUCAAUAUAUAAAUUUAUGUAUGUAUACAAAUUUUAUUUUUAAGUAAGUAAUUAGUCCGAAAUUUAUACAGGUUUUCUGUUCAAUUUUUAUGAAAUGAUCCUGUACACAAUAAAAAUUAUAAUACAUAAAUUGGUUAAGUGUUUUAUUUGUAAUGGAUGUUUUUUUAUGAAGCAAACAAGCAGACAGAUUGCCUGUUGCUGCGACCAUGGACAUCUGAAGCACUAGAUAAGUUGGGAGUGUGUUACAGCCUUUAAGAUGGGAGUGCACUCUCUUCUUGACUGUUUGAAGGUGGUAUUGGUCCAGAAUCACCACAGACGACGGUUCAUAUUGGUACAGCCAAGGUUUUAAAUAUAGAUGUGGACAAAGUGCCAAAAUAUGAAUCCUCAUCCUUAAUGUAUAAGCCUAAUAAUUUUGUUACCUUCAGGUUAGUAGAUCCCACUCAGUAUCUAAAGAUUUAUAAUAAUAAACAGACAUUUGUACAUUACAUUUAUUAAUUAUCUUACUGACCAAGUUAUUACAUAAAACAAAUUAGCACUCAAAGUUGAGAGACUCACAGGUUGUACUUAAUG